rnacentral:rRNA from 1 species
GAGUUUGAUCCUGGCUCAGGACGAUCGCUAGCGGCAGGCUUAACACAUGCAAGUCGAACGGUAACAUUGGUGCUUGCACUAGAUGACGAGUGGCGAACGGGUGCGUAACGCGUAUACAACCUACCUUUUACUAAGGAAUAGCUCAGAGAAAUUUGAAUUAAUACCUUAUACAAUCUUAAAAUCGCAUGGUUUAAAGAUAAAAGAACUUCGGUAAAAGAUGGGUAUGCGUGAUAUUAGCUAGUUGGUAAGGUAACGGCUUACCAAGGCAACGAUAUCUAGGGGGUCUGAGAGGAUGAUCCCCCACACUGGUACUGAGACACGGACCAGACUCCUACGGGAGGCAGCAGUGAGGAAUAUUGGUCAAUGGACGAAAGUCUGAACCAGCCAUGCCGCGUGUAGGAUGAAUGCCCUAUGGGUUGUAAACUACUUUUAUAUAGGAAGAAACCUCUUUAUUUAUAAAGAGCUGACGGUACUAUAAGAAUAAGCAUCGGCUAACUCCGUGCCAGCAGCCGCGGUAAUACGGAGGAUGCAAGCGUUAUCCGGAUUCAUUGGGUUUAAAGGGUCCGUAGGCGGGCUAUUAAGUCAGUGGUGAAAGCCUGCAGCUUAACUGUAGAAUUGCCAUUGAUACUGGUAGCCUUGAGUAUGUAUGAAGUGGGCGGAAUGUGUCAUGUAGCGGUGAAAUGCAUAGAUAUGACACAGAACACCGAUUGCGAAGGCAGCUCACUAAACCAUAACUGACGCUGAGGGACGAAAGCGUGGGUAGCGAACAGGAUUAGAUACCCUGGUAGUCCACGCCGUAAACGAUGAUCACUCGCUGUUGGCGAUACACUGUCAGCGGCCAAGCGAAAGCGUUAAGUGAUCCACCUGGGGAGUACGGUCGCAAGACUGAAACUCAAAGGAAUUGACGGGGGCCCGCACAAGCGGUGGAGCAUGUGGUUUAAUUCGAUGAUACGCGAGGAACCUUACCUGGGCUUAAAUGCAUAAUGACAGGACUGGAAAUAGGCUUUCCCUUCGGGGCGGUCUGCAAGGUGCUGCAUGGUUGUCGUCAGCUCGUGCCGUGAGGUGUUAGGUUAAGUCCUGCAACGAGCGCAACCCCUAUCUUUAGUUGCCAGCGAUUCGGUCGGGGACUCUAAAGAGACUGCCAGCGCAAGCUGUGAGGAAGGUGGGGAUGACGUCAAAUCAUCACGGCCCUUACGUCCUGGGCUACACACGUGCUACAAUGGUAGUGACAGAGGGCAGCCACCACGCGAGUGGGAGCAAAUCCUUAAACACUAUCUCAGUUCGGAUCGAAGUCUGCAACUCGACUUCGUGAAGCUGGAAUCGCUAGUAAUCGCGCAUCAGCCAUGGCGCGGUGAAUACGUUCCCGGGCCUUGUACACACCGCCCGUCAAGCCAUGGAAGCCGGGGGUACCUAAAGUCAGUAACCGUAAGGAGCUGCCUAGGGUGAAACUGGUAACUAGGGCUAAGUCGUAACAAGGUAACC